UGCUUGUCAAACAGAUAGCUCAGUCAGUAGAGCAUGAGACUCUUGACCCCAGGGUUGUGGGUUUGAGCCCCAAAUUGGGCAA